GAGCACGUAGGUGGGUUUGUAAGUCAGAUGUGAAAGCCUCCUGUUCAACGGGAGAAUUGCAUCUGAAACUGUGAAUCUUGAGUGUAGGAGGGGAGAAUGGAACUUCUGGUGGAGCGGUGAAAUGCGUAGAUAUCAGAAGGAACGCCGGCGGCGAAAGCGAUUCUCUGGCCUAUUACUGACACUCAGUGUGCGAGAGCUAGGGGAGCAAACGGGAUUAGAUACCCCGGUAGUCCUAGCCGUAAACGAUGGGCACUAAGUAGAGGGGUUA
rnacentral:rRNA from 1 species